GGUCAGGUAGCUCAGUCGGUAGAGCGCUGGUCUGAAAAACCAGAAGUCGGCAGUUCGAUUCUGCCCCUGACCACCA
rnacentral:tRNA from 1 species